rnacentral:rRNA from 1 species
CCUAACACAUGCAAGUCGAACGGUAACAGGAAACAGCUUGCUGUUUCGCUGACGAGUGGCGGACGGGUGAGUAAUGUCUGGGAAACUGCCUGAUGGAGGGGGAUAACUACUGGAAACGGUAGCUAAUACCGCAUAACGUCGCAAGACCAAAGAGGGGGACCUUCGGGCCUCUUGCCAUCGGAUGUGCCCAGAUGGGAUUAGCUAGUAGGUGGGGUAACGGCUCACCUAGGCGACGAUCCCUAGCUGGUCUGAGAGGAUGACCAGCCACACUGGAACUGAGACACGGUCCAGACUCCUACGGGAGGCAGCAGUGGGGAAUAUUGCA